AUGUAUCUGGUGAAGGACAUCGGCGGGGCCAUCGGGCUGAUGGCGGCGGCCCUGGUGCUCCUGGGCACCUGGCCGGUCGUGCUCGCCGUGCUGGAGCGCCGGGGCCGGCUGCCGCAGCACACGUACCUGGACUACUCCAUCACCAACUUCCUGGCCGCCGUGCUGAUCGCCCUCACAUUCGGCCAGAUCGGCGGCGACACGCCGGAGACGCCCAAUUUCCUCACUCAGCUCGCCCAGACCCAGGACUACUGGCCGUCGAUCAUGUUUGCGCUGGCGGGCGGCGUGGUGAUCACCCUCGGAACCGUGGCUACACAGUACGGCUGGGCAUACGUCGGGCUUUCGGUCACCGAGGUCAUGGCCUCAAGUCUCAAGGUUGUCAUAGGGACAACACUGAACUAUUUUCUGGACGGCCGGAUCAACAGGGCAGAGGUUCUCUUCCCCGGCGUCGGAUGCUUUCUGAUUGCAGCCUGCCUGGGCUCACUUGUUCACUCCUCCAAUGCUGCUGACAACCAGGAGAAGCUAUCAAACUCCAGAAACUACUCUGCUGGGAACACUGCAAAGGAAGAUCUCACCCAACACCUUGUUCAAGAAGAAGAGGAACCAAAGGAUUGUGAAGAAGCACUACCAAAUAAUAAGGCUGUGGAGAAAGCCGAGGCAGGAACAGCAGAUUUCCUCAUCGAUCUGGAGGACAAGAGAUCAAUCAAGGUUCUUGGAUCCAACACGCUGGUGGGGCUGGCGAUCGUGACGUUCGCGGGGGUGUGCUACUCGCUGUUCGCGCCGGCGUUCAACCUGGCGACCAACGACCAGUGGCACACGCUGCGCGACGGCCUGCCGCACCUCGUGGUCUACACCGCCUACUUCUACUUCUGCCUCUCCUCCCUCGUCGUCGGCGUGGCGCUCAACGUCUGGUGCCUCUACCGCCCCAUGGCCGGCGUGCCGCGGUCGACGCUGCGGGCGUACGCCGGCGACCGGGAGGGGAGGGGGCUGGCGCUGCUGGCGGGGCUGGUGUCCGGGCUGGGCAACGCGUUCACGUUCAUGGCCGGGCAGGCGGCCGGGUACGCGGCGGCGGACUCCGUGCAGGCGCUGCCGCUGGUGAGCACCUUCUGGGGCGUGGUGCUGUUCGGGGAGUACCGGAGGUCGUCGCGGAGGACCUACACGCUGCUGGGGAGCAUGCUCUUCAUGUUCGUCGUCGCCAUGACCGUGCUCAUGGCCUCCUCCGCGCACAGGAAGCCGCUCUGA
rnacentral:rRNA from 1 species